UAAUUGCCAUUUUGGCCAAGUAUCCAUGAACAUAAUGCAUUUUUAGCAAAUUCACCUCACUUGAAUCUGAACUCAAUUAAAACCAAAUAUUGAAAUCACAAAUAAGAUCAUAAGAACUCGAAAAGCAUCUUAUUAACUAGUUUUAACCAUGUUUGCAACAAAAUCACAAAUUCACUACAAGCUCUCUUCCUAAGCAACAGUCACUAAAUUAUUUAUAACUGGAGCUAAGAAACUCCAAAUCAAGUGCCGUUAAUUUUCCCUGAAAAUAGGCUCAUAUAUAUUCCAUCCAUCAAAUUUUUAGAAUUUUUGGUUUGACCAAUCAAUACUAGAUUUUUAUUGAGGUUUCCCCUGUUUCACUAUUUGACUAAUCUGACCACUCUUCACUACGAAUCAAUUUUCUCAUUAUACAGAAUUCGAA
rnacentral:lncRNA from 1 species